ACUGAUAUUCGUAAACACAAUGUGACUGAGUGAGUUCAGUUCUACGCCGCCUUUUUGCAAUAUUCCAGCAAUAUCACGGCGGGGGACACCAGAAAUGGGCUUCAUACA